rnacentral:rRNA from 1 species
UCUUGACCAAAUUACGUGCCAGCAGUCGCGGUAAUACGUAGAAGACAAGUGUUAUUCAUCUUUAUUAGGUUUAAAGAGUACCAAGACGGUUAAUAAAGCCCAAAAUAAAUGAAUACGGGGGACACAUUAACUAGAGUUAUAUGAAAUGAAGCUAGAAGGUACUGUUGAGUGUAGAGAUGAAAUUCUAUGAUACCAGAUGAUUGGCACAGAUUAAUGCGAAGGCAUCUUCUUAUGUAAUAACUGACGUUGUAGGACGAAGGCUUAGGGAGUGAACAGGAUUAGGUACCCCAGUAAUCUAGGCAGAAAAUGAUGAAUGUCAUAGGUUUAAUACAGACAGGUUAAGUUGACUAUCUAAUGGUAAAUAGGUGGUAUUUUAAUGAGUCUAUUAUUGUGUCUAUAAAUGAAAGUGUAAGCAUUCCACCUCAAGAGUAAUUUGGCAACAUUGGAACUGAAAUCAUUAGACCGUUUCUGAAACCAGUAGUGAAGUAUGUUGUUUAAUUAGAUGAUACACAAAAACCUUACCACAAUUUGAAUAUAUAUAAAUUAUAUUUACAA